GAUGAACGCUAGCUAUAGGCUUAACACAUGCAAGUCGAGGGACCGGCGCACGGGUGAGUAACGCGUAUCCAACCUGCCCAUAACUAAGGGAUAACCCAGCGAAAGUUGGACUAAUACCUUAUGGUUAUGGAUGGGGAUGCGUUUGAUUAGCUUGUUGGCGGGGUAACGGCCCACCAAGGCAACGUACAGUAGGGGUUCUGAGAGGAAGGUCCACCACAAUGGAGCUGAGGCCCGGUCCAACCUCCUAGGGGAGGCAGGAGUGAGGAAUAUUGGUCAAGGGACGCAAGUCUGAACCAGCCAAGUAGCGUGAAGAAUGCCUGGCUUUGGGAUGUAAACUGCUUUUAUAUGGGGAUAGGUACCAUAUGAAUAAGGACCGGCUAAUUCCGUGCCAGCAGCCGCGGUAAUAC
rnacentral:rRNA from 1 species